rnacentral:misc_RNA from 1 species
CGGGGGUUUUGCCUUUGUAAGCUAUAACUCUCUGAUUUCUCGUCAGAACCACACUUAUCCACUUUGAGCAGCAAACCAUACAAUUCUGCAAGCGUAUAACGAUAAAGAAGGCAAAGUCUGCUGGAUUUGCAUUCACAAAUGUGCUCCCAAUGCUCCAGGCAUACGUAUGCAGAUGGCCUACAAUUACAAACAACAGCAGAAAGAUAAAGAUACUGCUUGCAAAUAAUGCAUGUUGGAUCCUCUUCAGUACCAACAUAUUCAGGACAU